CACUGUUGCUGCAGUGCUCCAGGAGAUUGUGUCAAUUUACCCUUCACUUUCACCUCCUACUUUGUCGCCAGUUGCAUCAAACCGUGUCUGCAAUGCACUUGCACUUCUUCAGUGUGUUGCUUCACACCCUGAGACCAGGAUCCCGUUCUUGAAUGCUCACAUCCCACUGUACGUGUACCCGUUCCUGAAUACUACCAGCAAGACAAGACCUUUUGAGUACUUGAGGCUUACCAGCUUGGGUGUUAUUGGUGCUCUUGUGAAGGUAAAUUAAAACUAGAUACUUAUGCAAACUAGGAAUGGAUGGUCCAUAUAGAU